GGAGAGACAGUCAGCCAUUACUGUUUAAAUCAACUCACAACCUCUUUUGGCUUUAGGUUUGAAUUAAUUAAUCCGUUAAUUUGUCAAUUUUAAUGUCAUUUUAUUAGUUAUAAAUGUAAAAUUCAUCAACAGUUUGGUUAUUUGAUGAAAUAAAUACAUCUCUUUUGGCAUAUCAUUGGAAAGCCUCGGGAAAUAAUGUUUAACUAAACAACAUGACUUCACCCGGGAUAUCAAAAUGCAACUCAAUUUACCCUGAAUCAUUUCCAAAUUGAACCUAAUUCAACUAUGUAAUGCCUUAAGCGACAGUCAACAAGCAUCACAAUUGCCGAAAAUAUGAAGGAGAAAAAAAACGACAACAAUUGGCUACAUUACCACCUAUCAAUAGACUGUGAAAGUAAAUUAUACAAAUUGUACAAAUUACAUCUAAAAUUUUGUCAACUUAAAUCAACUAACAUUAGAAGUUUUCCAUGGAAUCCAGACUGGGAUUGUGUUGCAUGAUAUCAAGAGUUUUACCAUAUUGUGAUAUGAUAAUGGAAAGCAUACCAAUAUAUAUUUCCAUGCAUGCGGAUGCCAGAAUUGUCUCUGGGAGGGAAAACUGUGAAUUGGAUAAGUUUAGG